UGAGUAACCUGCCCUCCACUCUGGGAUAAGCCCGGGAAACUGGGUCUAAUACCGGAUAUGACCUCCUGUCUCAUGGCGGGUGGUGGAAAGUUUUUCGGUGGGGGAUGGACUCGCGGCCUAUCAGCUUGUUGGUGAGGUAAUGGCUUACCAAGGCGACGACGGGUAGCCGGCCUGAGAGGGCGACCGGCCACACUGGGACUGAGACACGGCCCAGACUCCUACGGGAGGCAG
rnacentral:rRNA from 1 species